GCCACAGGCACUAAGCACUGUGGCAUAUAUGUAUGGUGGCAAUGAAGGAGUUAAUCUGUUUUGUCUGGGAUUUGAAUGUGAGGAAUUUUACAUCUUGUGGUAGAUGGUCAGUUAGACAGAAUUGAUGACAGCUGUUUGUGGGGGCUGGAGCUAGCAUGGGAUUGGUUGAAAGUUGCAAGCAGAAAAACAGCGGGAAACUGGAACAGUAUAUAAAGAAGCAGCACAAGUUUAAUCCUGUCAGAGUGGACUGGAGCAGGA